UGAUAAGCAGAGUCAGCAUAGAUUCAUUCC
rnacentral:piRNA from 1 species